rnacentral:rRNA from 1 species
GACGAACCGUGCGAACGUUGUUCGGAAUCACUAGGCUUAAAGGGCGCGUAGGCGGGCUGCCAAGUCUGGGGUGAAAUCCCACGGCUCAACCGUGGAACUGCCUCGGAUACUGGCGGCCUCGAGGGAGGUAGGGGCAUGCGGAACUGUGGGUGGAGCGGUGAAAUGCGUUGAUAUCCACAGGAACUCCGGUGGCGAAGGCGGCAUGCUGGACCUCUUCUGACGCUGAGGCGCGAAAGCCAGGGGAGCAAACGGG